rnacentral:misc_RNA from 1 species
GAAUGUGGAGAGAGCAGAAGAUGUACUUAUGCACAAAAGAUUACUGCAAUUGGCUUGUGAUCCCGAUAAUAGACCUGCUAUUGAAAUUCGCCUCGUGCAGGUUCAUCCUGUUUCUGAUUGGAAUUUGUUUGAUUCUAACCUUUCAGAUUCACCUUAUAAAGAAGAUGCCCAAAGUAGUAGAAAGAGUGUACUUCCACCGCCUGCCUUUGGUUCAUCACCUAAUCUUGAAGCGCUUGCACUUGAAGCUACUAAAUGUGAAAGUGAUGAUGGUGAUAAUUCUGUGCAUGCAAAUUCAAAGUUCUCUAGGCCCUUGCAUGAAAUUACAUUUUCAACUGAUGACAAGCCAAAGCUUCUUAGUCAGUUCACUUCCUUGCUUGCUGAGAUUGGGUUGAAUAUCCAAGAAGCACAUGCUUUCUCCACGGUUGAUGGCUAUUCCUUGGAUGUCUUUGUUGUUGAUGGUUGGCCAUUUGAGGAGACAGAGCAGCUUAGAAUUGCAUUGGAAAAGGAAGUUUUUAGGAUUGAGAAGCAGAAUUGUUCGAAUCAUCAUUCAUUAUCACACACUAGCGAGCAUGAACAAACCCAGAUCAAAUGUGAUCCUGAUCAUGUGGCAAUACCUAAUGAUGGUAGUGAUGUCUGGGAAAUUAAUCUUAAGAACCUGAAGUUUGAGAACAAAGUUGCAUCUGGAUCAUAU